rnacentral:rRNA from 1 species
CCCUAAACGAUGUCAACUAGUUGUUGGGGAUUCAUUUCCUUUAGUAAACGUAGCUAACGCGUGAAGUUGACCGCCUGGGGAGUACGGUCGCAAGAUUAAAACUCAAAGGAAUUGACGGGGACCCGCACAAGCGGUGGAUGAUGUGGAUUAAUUUNGAUGCAACGCGAAAAACCUUACCUACCCUUGACAUCCUCGGAACCCUGGUGAGAGCUGGGGGUGCUCGAAAGAGAACCGACACACAGGUGCUGCAUGGCUGUCGUCAGCUCGUGUCGCUGAGAUGUUGGGUUAAGUCCCGCAACGAGCGCAACCCUUGUCCUUAGUUGCUACGCAAGAGCACUCUAAGGAGACUGCCGGUGACAAACCGGAGGAAGGUGGGGAUGACGUCAAGUCCUCAUGGCCCUUAUGGGUAGGGCUUCACACGUCAUACAAUGGUCGGAACAGAGGGUCGCUAAGCCGCGAGGUGGAGCCAAUCCCAGAAAACCGAUCGUAGUCCGGAUCGUAGUCUGCAACUCGACUACGUGAAGCUGGAAUCGCUAGUAAUCGCGGAUCAGCAUGCCGCGGUGAAUACGUUCCCGGGUCUUGUACACACCGCCCGUCACACCAUGGGAGUGGGUUUUACCAGAAGUGGCUAGUCUAACCGCAAGGAGGACGGUCACCACGGUAGGAUUCAGACUGGGGUCAAGUCGUAACAAGGUACCCG